rnacentral:rRNA from 1 species
GAACUGAAGAGUUUGAUCAUGGCUCAGAUUGAACGCUGGCGGCAGGCCUAACACAUGCAAGUCGAGCGGAUGAAGGGAGCUUGCUCCUGGAUUCAGCGGCGGACGGGUGAGUAAUUCCUAGGAAUCUGCCUGGUAGUGGGGGAUAACGUCCGGAAACGGGCGCUAAUACCGCAUACGUCCUGAGGGAGAAAGUGGGGGAUCUUCGGACCUCACGCUAUCAGAUGAGCCUAGGUCGGAUUAGCUAGUUGGUGGGGUAAAGGCCUACCAAGGCGACGAUCCGUAACUGGUCUGAGAGGAUGAUCAGUCACACUGGAACUGAGACACGGUCCAGACUCCUACG